rnacentral:rRNA from 1 species
CGUUUGAUUGAUUCAUAGUCAAACGAGGCGAACCGGGGAAACUGAAACAUCUCAGUACCCCGAGAAAAAGAAAUCAACCGAGAUUCCCCCAGUAGCGGCGAGCGAACGGGGAGCAGCCCAGAGUCAACAUCAAUAUUUACCACAGGAGAAGGGUCUGGAAAAGCCGGCAAUAAAGGGUGAUAGCCCCGUAUCUAAAGCGGUAAGUGUUGUGAACUCGAAGAGUAGGGCGGGACACGUGUUAUCCUGUCUGAAUAUGGGGGGACCAUCCUCCAAGGCUAAAUACUCCUGACUGACCGAUAGUGAACCAGUACCGUGAGGGAAAGGCGAAAAGAACCCCGGCGAGGGGAGUGAAAUAGAACCUAAAACCGUGUACGUACAAGCAGUAGGAGCACCCGAAAGGGUGUGACUGCGUACCUUUUGUAUAAUGAGUCAGCGACUUAUAUUCUGUAGCAAGGUUAACCGCAUAGGGGAGCCGUAGGGAAACCGAGUCUUAACUGGGCGUUAAGUUGCAGGGUAUAGACCCGAAACCCGGUGAUCUAGCCAUAAGCAGGUUGAAGGUUGGGUAACACUAACUGGAGGACC